CAGGACUUCUACAACCAAGCUUCAGCGCCUCACAGACAGCAUGUUUUCUCCUAUGAUUUGCCAAUACUUCAAUAAAUCCAUCUUGCCUUCCACAUGCCACAAUUUUACAGUGCCAAAGCAGGUCCAGAGCAUCACCGAGCCACCACCAUCAUUAACUGGAGACAGUGUUCUUUCCAGCAUAUGUUUCAUUCUUCCUCCAGACAUACAUUUGGUCCAUUGGGCCUUAAAGUUCCAGUUUUGUUUCAUCCCUCCACAGAACAAAAUCACAAUUUCUGCAGCUUAUUUAUAUAAUUUUGAGCUGACCUUUUUUCUUGUGCUUCUGGGUCAGUAGUGGUGUAAGUCUUCUGGCAUGGACACCUUCUGCAUUUAGCACAUGCCUUACUGUGCUCACUGUAACAUCAGUCCCCAGUCUUGCUGUAGGUAUUUUGCAGUGACUCAAGGAUUUUUCACAACCUGCCUUCUCAGAAAUACUGUUGUAGCCAUUGAUAGCUUCGUUUUUCUGCCCCUUCAUCUUUUUUGUGAACCAUUCUUUUUAAUGAUGUCUCUAGGAACAUUCAGUUUCUUUGCAAUCUUCUUGUAUCGAGUCUGGAGAAGUCAUUGUAAGUUGCUUAUUGACAUACUUCCGGGUUUUUGCCCAUUACCAUUGUAACGGAUUCUUGCUCAUGGUUUUAAAGGCUGUUUUGCGUUCUUGUUUGCCACAGUCUCCCUACUAUUCCUUGUAUUUUUUUAUUCUGUGCUUUUGGGUUUCUGCUCCUGGUUGCCUUUACAGAUUGCUGUCCUG